rnacentral:rRNA from 1 species
CACGUAGGAGGCGAGCGUUGUCCGGAAUCAUUGGGCGUAAAGAGCGCGCAGGCGGCUUGGCAAGUCGGGUGUGAAAUCCCGGGGCUCAACCCCGGGACUGCAUUCGAUACUGUCAGGCUAGAGGUAGGUAGGGGAGAUCGGAAUUCCUGGUGUAGCGGUGAAAUGCGCAGAUAUCAGGAGGAACACCGGUGGCGAAGGCGGAUCUCCGGGCCUUACCUGACGCUCAGGCGCGAAAGCUAGGGGAGCGAACAGG